CAGCCGCCGCGGGAAUACGGAGGGUGCAAGCGUUAAUCGGAAUUACUGGGCGUAAAGCGUGCGUAGGCGGUUCGUUAAGUCUGUUGUGAAAGCCCCGGGCUCAACCUGGAAUGGCAAUGGAUACUGGCGAGCUAGAGUGUGUCAGAGGAUGGUGGAAUUCCCGGUGUAGCGGUGAAAUGCGUAGAGAUCGGGAGGAACAUCAGUGGCGAAGGCGGCCAUCUGGGACAACACUGACGCUGAGGCACGAAAGCGUGGGGAGCAAACAGGAUUAGAUACCCAGUAGUCCCUGUCUCUUAUACAC
rnacentral:rRNA from 1 species